GACGAACGCUGGCGGCGUGCCUAAUACAUGCAAGUAGAACGCUGAAGGAGGAGCUUGCUUCUCUGGAUGAGUUGCGAACGGGUGAGCAACGCGUAGGUAACCUGCCUGGUAGCGGGGGAUAACUAUUGGAAACGAUAGCUAAUACCGCAUAAUAGUAGAUGUUGCAUGACAUUUGCUUAAAAGGUGCAAUUGCAUCACUACCAGAUGGACCUGCGUUGUAUUAGCUAGUUGGUGGGGUAACGGCUCACCAAGGCGACGAUACAUAGCCGACCUGGGAGGGUGGUCGGCCACACUGGGACUGAGACACGGCCCAGACUCCUACGGGAGGCAGCAGUAGGGAAUCUUCGGCAAUGGACGGAAGUCUGACCGAGCAACGCCGCGUGAGUGAAGAAGGUUUUCGGAUCGUAAAGCUCUGUUGUAAGAGAAGAACGAGUGUGAGAGUGGAAAGUUCACACUGUGACGGUAUCUUACCAGAAAGGGACGGCUAACUACGUG
rnacentral:rRNA from 1 species